CUAGCUGUAAACGAUGGAUACUAGGCGUUGAGAGUAUCGACCCUCUCAGUGUCGUAGCUAACGCGUUAAGUAUCCCGCCAGGGGAGUACGCGCGCAAGCGUGAAACUCAAAGGAAUUGACGGGGGCCCGCACAAGCGGUGGAGUAUGUGGUUUAAUUCGAUGCAACGCGAAGAACCUUACCAGGGCUUGACAUGUCCGGAACCCUGCCCAAAGGCGGGGGUGCCUACGGGAACCGGAACACAGGUGGUGC
rnacentral:rRNA from 1 species